UACAGAGGUGGCAAGCGUUGUUCGGAAUUACUGGGCGUAAAGGGCGCGUAGGCGGCCCGAUAAGUCCCGCGUGAAAGCCCCCGGCUCAACUGGGGAACUGCGCGGGAAACUAUUGGGCUUGAGAUCGGGAGAGGGAAGCGGAAUUCCGGGUGUAGCGGUGAAAUGCGUAGAUAUCCGGAGGAACACCAGUGGCGAAGGCAGCGCUCUGGGACGUGACUGACGCUGAGACGCGAAAGCGUGGGGAGCAAACAGG
rnacentral:rRNA from 1 species